CAGCCGCCGCGGUAAAACCAGCACCUCGAGUGGUCAGGAGGUUUAUUGGGCCUAAAGCAUCCGUAGCCGGUUGCAUAAGUUUUCGGUUAAAUCUAUGCGCUCAACAUAUGGGCUGCCGGGAAUACUGCAUAACUAGGAAGUGGGAGAGGUAGACGGUACUCGGUAGGAAGGGGUAAAAUCCUUUGAUCUAUUGAUGACCACCUGUGGCGAAGGCGGUCUACCAGAACACGUUCGACGGUGAGGGAUGAAAGCUGGGGGAGCAAACCGGAUUAGAUACCCGGGUAGUCCCAGCUGUAAACUAUGCAAACUCAGUGAUGCAUUGGCUUGUGGCCAAUGCAGUGCUGCAGGGAAGCCGUUAAGUUUGCCGCCUGGGAAGUACGUACGCAAGUAUGAAACUUAAAGGAAUUGGCGGGGGAGCAC
rnacentral:rRNA from 2 species